rnacentral:lncRNA from 1 species
AAAGAUACACUAUACUGGUGACUCGUCAGACUCAUGCAUUAUCUAAAACACUCAGGCUAAAAGAAAAAUGAAACAAAGUAAACAACUAAAAAGCAAUAAAAAUAAACAAUCUAACUAAAAACAGCAAAGAAAAAUAGAAAGUGAUAAAAUCUCCUCCCACACUUAAAUCGAACAUUGUCCCCAAUGUUUCGAAAUAAGAUAAGGGGAGAGUAACCUGACAUCCAACUGCUGACCACUGGUACCUUCGCC